GAUGAACGCUGGCGGCGUGCCUAAUACAUGCAAGUCGAGCGAACAGACGAGGCGCUUGCUCCUCUCACGUUAGCGGCGGACGUGAGAGUAACACGUGUAUCACCUACCUAUAUGACUGGGAUAACUUCGAGAAACCGGAGCUAAUACCGGAUAAUAUAUUGAACCGCAUGGUUCAAUAGUGAAAGACGGUUUUGCUGUCACUUAUAGAUGCAUCUGGGCUGUUUUAGAUAGUUGGUAAGGUAACGGGCUACCAAGGCUACGAUGCGUAGCCGACCUGAGAGGGUGGUCGGCCACACGAGAGCGUGAACACGGACCAGACUCCUACGGGAGGGAGCAGUAGGGAAUCUUACGCAAUGGGCGAGAGCCUGACAGAGUAACGCGGCGUGAGUGAUGAAGGUGUUCGGAGCGUAAAACUCUGUUAUUAGGGAAAAACAAAUGUGUAAGUAACUAUGCACGUAUUGACGGUAACGAAUCAGAAAGCCCCGGCUAACUACGUG
rnacentral:rRNA from 1 species